rnacentral:RNase_P_RNA from 1 species
AGUGCUGCUGGGAUGACCGCGGGUGAUUUACUUCGGUAAACCACGUGAGGAAAGUCUGGGCUCCAUAGGGUGUGAUGGUGGCUAACGGCCACCGAAGGAAACUUUAGGGAAAGUGCAACAGAAAAUAAACCGCCUAAGUCGCAAGACCGGUAAGGUUGAAAUGGUGAGGUAAGAGCUCACCGCGCGGCUGGUGACAGUCGUGGCAGUGUAAACCCCAUCAGGAGAAAGUUCGCAUAGGAAGGGUAGGCGCGACCCGCGCUGUUUGAACCUUCGGGUAGAACGUUUGAGGCCUGCGGUAACGUAGGUCCUAGAUAAAUGGUUGUCGCCUUUCGAGGUACAAAAUCCGGCUUAUAAGGCAGCGCUCACU